rnacentral:tRNA from 1 species
CGCGGGGUGGAGAAGUGGUAUCUCGUAAGGCUCAUAACCUUGAGACCCCUGUUCGAUUCAGGGCCCCGCAACCA